rnacentral:rRNA from 1 species
GGGCCCGCACAAGCGGUGGAGCAUGUGGCUCAAUUCGAUGCAACGCGAAGAACCUUACCAGGCCUUGACAUGCACUAGACCGACUCUGAAAGGAGUCUUCCCUUCGGGGCUGGUGCACAGGUGCUGCAUGGCUGUCGUCAGCUCGUGUCGUGAGAUGUUGCGUUAAGUCGCGCAACGAGCGCAACCCCUGUCCUUAGUUGCCAUCAGGUAAAGCUGGGCACUCUAGGGAGACAAACCCUCUCUGAGGGUGGGAAGGUGGGGAUGACGUCAAGUCAGGAUGGCCCUUACGGCCUGGGCUGCACACGUGCUACAAUGCUCGGUACAGAGGGACGCAAGACCGCGAGGUGGAGCAAAUCCCAAAAACCGAGCCCAGUUCAGAUUGCAGUCUGCAACUCGACUGCAUGAAGCCGGAAUCGCUAGUAAUGGCGUAUCAGCUACGACGCCGUGAAUACGUUCCCGGGCCUU